AUUGAACGCUGGCGGCAUGCUUUACACAUGCAAGUCGGACGAGUGGCGAACGGGUGAGUAACGCAUCGGAACGUACCGAGUAAUGGGGGAUAACUAUCCGAAAGGACAGCUAAUACCGCAUAUUAUUCGAGCGGCCGAUGUCUGAUUAGCUUGUUGGCGGGGUAAAGGCCCACCAAGGCGACGAUCAGUAGCGGGUCUGAUAGGAUGAUCCGCCACACUGGGAAUGAGACACGGCCCAGACUCCUACGGGAGGCAGCAGUGGGGAAUGUUGGACAAUGGGCGCAAGCCUGAUCCAGCCAUGCCGCGUGUAUGAAGAAGGCCUUCGGGUUGUAAAGGACUUUUGUCAGGGAAGCGGUACCGGAAUAGAAAGCCACGGCUAACUACGUGCCAGCAGCCGCGGUAAUUC
rnacentral:rRNA from 1 species